AGCCCAGCGCGCCCGGGGCCGCGCGGCCUGCGGGGACAGGGUGGGGGUCAGCUUCCUAGCCUGGGGGAAUCAGGCUUCCGUCCGCGAGGACAAGCGGGCGUGGGGUCAAGCCAGAGACGGGGGAGGUUUGGUGCGGAGCCAGAAGGCGAACCGGAGCCAGAGCCGCGGACCCUUCCCGAACUUUGCGAGGGGCGACUGUGGUGUUUCAGCCCGGGGGGUGGGGCGCAAAGUGGAGCUGGCCUCCAGGGUACCCUUGGGAGGCAGAAGGAUGAGGGCAUCUCGCGGGGUCGGGGGACUACGAGGAAGGCGGGACAAGCCAGAGGAGAAAGGGCGCACCGUCUGGAGGACGGGGCGGGGACUCUGAGGCCUUCCGGAGCUCCUGCUGGAGCGGACUUGCAGGUCCAGGCCGGCACCAGUGGCGGGGGCCGACCAUGGUCAGAGUAGGGGCAGCCAGCUGGCAUGAUGCCUCUACCAAGGCCUUCUCCAGAUGUACCCCUCUUUUUGCCAUCCAGAAGUGAAAGUGAAGUCGCUCAGUCGUGUCCAACUCUUUGCGACCCUGUGGACUGUAGCCCACCAAGCUCCUCCGUCCAUGGGAUUCUCCAGGCAAGAGUACUGGAGUGGGUUGCCAUUUCCUUCUCCAUAUUGGCUCAAUAAAUGGUCUUCAGGCCCCUGGAUUUCCCACUGCA